rnacentral:rRNA from 1 species
AUUGAACGCUGGCGGCAUGCCUUACACAUGCAAGUCGAACGGUAACAGGUCUUCGGUUGCUGACGAGUGGCGAACGGGUGAGUAAUACAUCGGAACGUGCCCGAUCGUGGGGGAUAACGAGGCGAAAGCUUUGCUAAUACCGCAUACGAUCUACGGAUGAAAGCGGGGGAUCUUCGGACCUCGCGCGGACGGAGCGGCCGAUGGCAGAUUAGGUAGUUGGUGGGAUAAAAGCUUACCAAGCCGACGAUCUGUAGCUGGUCUGAGAGGAUGAUCAGCCACACUGGGACUGAGACACGGCCCAGACUCCUACGGGAGGCAGCAGUGGGGAAUUUUGGACAAUGGGCGAAAGCCUGAUCCAGCCAUGCCGCGUGCAGGAUGAAGGCCUUCGGGUUGUAAACUGCUUUUGUACGGAACGAAAAGCCUCUUUCUAAUAAAGAGGGGUCAUGACGGUACCGGAAGAAUAAGCACCGGCUAACUACGUG